ensembl:lncRNA
GUCUUACAACUCAGGCCUGACACUCACUACCUAGAGUUAGUAUAGACCCCACAGGCUGAGGGCUUGGUCCCACAGGACUAACCCCACUUCAGACACUAAUCGCAAGCCUUGACUUCCUGUCCUCCUGAUUAACUGGCUAUAAAUCGAGGGCUCGCAGGACCUUCAGGUUUGCUCAUUUUUUCAGAUUUCAGGAAAGCUGUUUACUUACUAUGACUGGUUUAUCAUAAGUCUUAUAACUGAGGAGCAGCCAAGUGGCAAAGGUGCAAGGGUGAAGUGCAGCAGGCAGAAUAGAGUUCCAGUCCCUCCCUUGGGUGCCCCAUCCUCUCAGCACAGGAUGUGUUCACUAGCCUGAAAGUUCUUUGAACUCCAUUGUUCAGGAUUUUUGUAAAGUUUUCAUUAGUUCGUUACACAGACAUGACUGAUUAAAGCAUUAGUCAUUAAUGAUCAACUCAAUGUUCAGCCCCUCUCCCCUCCCUGGUGACCUGGGGGUGGAGCUGAAAGUUCCCAUCCUCUAAUCACAUGGUUGGUUUCUCUAGCAACAAAGAACAAUCCUCCAAGAAUCACUUCAUCAUCAUAAACUCAGGUAUAGCUAAAAGAGUCUAGUUAUGAAUAAAAAAAGUAUUCCCCUCUCCACAGUCACUCAGGAAAUUCUAAGAGCUUUAGGAGCUCUAUGCCAGGAAUUGGAUAAAAGCCACAUACAUAUUUCUUACUGUCACAGUGUCACUAUAAAGCAUGCACCAUGGUACCAAGAAAAUGACAACAGUGAUCUACAGGCACCAUUUCACCACAUUUUAUAAACGUUUACAGUGUGCAUGGCACUUUGGUGGUGAUAUGGAUGGAGAGAGAGAAAGGACAGGCCUUCUGUUUCCAAAACAGAAACAACACCCAGUUGUAGAUGUGUCUGGUAGUGAAAGUAAAGUCUGAUGCUGUAAAGAACAAUAAUGCAUAGGAACCUGGAAUGUUAGGUCUGUGAAUCAAGGCAAAUUGGAAGCGGUCAAACAGGAAACAGCAAGAGUGAACAUUGACAUUUUAGGAAUCAGUGAACUAAAAUGGACUGGAAUGGGUAAAUUUAAUAC